rnacentral:lncRNA from 1 species
CCAGGGGGCUGAGGGGCACAGGCUGCCUGAUAGUCAUAGGACUCCUUGCGGGUGUAGAAGGAGUUAUUGUAGAGUGCCAGCAUCAGGUUGGCAUCCACCUCACUGAAGAACCUGCCCACCUGAGGAUGUCAGGAGAAAGCCAUGGUCACAGGGCUGGCAGUGCUACACCCCUAGAAGGCUCAAAUCCCUACUCUCUUCUUUCACUCUCUUCCUGAUCCUCACCUGGUCCCACUGAUGGUUCUGGUUUGACAGCACCAGGAAUCCUCCAUCAUCAAUGAGGACACAGAGUAAGUCCUAGGAGGAAGGGAAUGGGGAGGAAAAUGGAGAGGGGCUGGGCCCCGGACCUUCCACCGCAGGCAGUCCAGUGGUUCAGAGUUGGGGGGCAUCACUCCCCCAGUCCUGGGAAGGCUGUGAAGUCAGGGUGGGGAUGUUGAGACCCACAGGCCAAGGGAUGUGCUGGGAGUCGCGGCUGGGACUAGGAAGUCUGGAAGUGGGGUAAGCUAGGGUCCAGGGUAGGUUCAGGGCACACACACCUCAUUGUUAACCUCGCAGUCCAUCUCACAGUGGCUGUUGGGGCCGCACUGCUGGGCAGAGAGUGAGGACCGUAAGCCACCCACCAGUUUUCCUCCCUCCCAUCACCUUUCAUACAUCCGGUUCCCCAGGCCAUCUGCAGCUGGCCCUGCCUCCAUGUAGGUGUUGGAGCCACUGAGUGGAGGGUUGGUGGGGGUUCCAGGGGACUCCAGGAAGGGCACUGCUGGGUUACUGCCCCCGCCCCUGCCCAAAUACCUUCUGAGGCUGGUCUUGGUGGGUACGGUUGCUGGCUAGCACCUUGAACUUCUCAGCCCAAGCCUCUAGGUCCAGCUUGACGCCCACCACUUUGGGGGAGAGCAAGGGACCAUCAGUGCUACCUGCCCAGGCAGUACCCUGUCCAUUGCCUGUUUCCCCACCUCUGUCCCAAACAUUCACCUGCUGGCCUCAGUGUGCGCCUGCCUAGGCUGAGCUCCACAGCUGUGCUGACGAGGAUGCCCACAGUGUCAUUCUCCAGCUCCAGCGGCCUUAACAGGGCUGGGGGUUGGGUGGGGAAGUCAGGAGUGGGGUCUGGCGGCCACACUGACCACUCUAUGCUGGGUCCUACAAACCCAGCAGUCCAAUCCCGGGAUGACUCCAGCCCAAGCACCCAGCACUCAGGACAGUGUUUGGCACAGUCUAUCCCUCUUUUCACGUCUGCCCUGGCCUCAGCCAGCCUUGUGUUGGAGAGGGGCCUCAGACAGCAGAGCCCAGUUCUGGCUGAGCAGACAGGGAAGCUGAGGCUCCCUGCCUGCUGCUGGGCACACUGCGGGGACACUCACCAUCCUGGUGUGGGGGCUUGAAGACAUAACCGUGGUUAUCCAGGCUGCGGCGGUAGAAGCUGGCAUUGAAGGGCUCAGGGUUCUCUGUCCAGUCCUCAGCUGCCCUGGAGCACCCAAGAGGCAGACUGGCUGGGUGAUGCCUACGUGUUGAGAUCCUGGUCCCUCCACACACGCUCUACCAGCUGCUGCGUGAUGCCCGUGUCCAAGAUCAGGUUGUGCAGAAGGAAGUUGUUGCCUGGAACAGGAGGGGAGGGGUGGGGGUGGGGGCAUCUUCUUGCAGCUCCUUGCCCACCCUCACCCCCACCCUUAAGGCUCCACCAGGAGCCUCCUCCAUGACCUGGCCCUGGCCCAGGCCCAGCCCUUAGCUUGUGCCUGCUUAUUUCCACACCUGCCCGGCCUCUGGGUUCCUCUGGGCUGGCCCCAUGCUGCCUGGGCACUGCCCAGAGCCAGCUGCCCUGCCAGGCACUCACACUGCUUGGAGUCUGGAGUCACUUUCUCCAUGAGCUCAAUAAAGUUUUUCAGGAACUCGGUGUUGUUGUCUGAGGCAUUCAGGUCCUUGCAGUACUCUCUAGGGAUGGGGAGGGGCAAGAAGAGUGGGCUUGGGGGGCUGGACAGGGCAAUGGGGUCAAGGCUUCCCAACAGGCCCACUUGGCCAUUCACUGAGAAGCCUGGGCCUCAGGGAGGGGCACAUGGGUUCUUCCUGGCUGCAGCUGCUACAUGCCUGGCAGGCUGCUCGGGUCUGAGUCGGGGCAGAGCUGACACAAGAAUGAGGGUCUACUUUCUCCAUUCGGGCAGCUGCUUUCUCCUGGGCAUGGCUCCGCAGAGCCUCCCGUCUCUCCGGUGUAGCUGGACCCAGAUAGUGCACCUGAAAGGCCCCAGGAAAUGCCUGGCGGCCUGCUCAUCCACGUGUAUGCCCUAGAGCAUUCCCAUGGGCACCAGAUGGGACCCAAGUACAAGCACUGGCUUUUUGUCAGCCUAAGACCUCACCCUGCCUCUUCCUGGCUGUGUGCCGUUAGGUAACUCACUCACGCUCUCUGACCCUCGCUUUUUUCA